rnacentral:rRNA from 1 species
AGUGAACGCUGGCGGUAGGCCUAACACAUGCAAGUCGAACGGCAGCACAGUAAGAGCUUGCUCUUACGGGUGGCGAGUGGCGGACGGGUGAGGAAUACAUCGGAAUCUACUUUUUCGUGGGGGAUAACGUAGGGAAACUUACGCUAAUACCGCAUACGACCUACGGGUGAAAGCAGGGGAUCUUCGGACCUUGCGCGAUUGAAUGAGCCGAUGUCGGAUUAGCUAGUUGGCGGGGUAAAGGCCCACCAAGGCGACGAUCCGUAGCUGGUCUGAGAGGAUGAUCAGCCACACUGGAGCUGAGACACGGUCCAGACUCCUACGGAGGCAGCAGUGGGGAAUAUUGGACAAUGGGCGCAAGCCUGAUCCAGCCAUACCGCGUGGGUGAAGAAGGCCUUCGGGUUGUAAAGCCCUUUUGUUGGGAAAGAAAAGCAGCAGGUUAAUACCCCGCUGUUCUGACGGUACCCAAAGAAUAAGCACCGGCUAACUUCGUG